AUUGAAUAAGGUUUCUAUAGGUGUUGAUUUUGGGUGAUUUGGAUUUGUUAUGACUUUGUAAGAGCUUUGCAAAGUCAAGGUUUAUUUUGGAUGACUUGGAGUUUAUGAAAUAAAAUAGGGUUUACGUUUUGGACGAUUUUGAGAGUUUUGUAGUAGAUCUAUGGAUGGAAUUUUGUAGGUAUAUGGUUAUAGUUGUUUUCAAUAUUUUUUGUGAAUUUGAGCUCAAUCUAACGGUUGAAUUAAAGAAUAUUGAUGUUUAAGUAGGUCAAGGUCUCAAAAAGUAGAAUUUUAGGUGUAGUGAGGAUUUUUAAGAUUUCUUGCAAUCUACUACUUGGAUUGAAGUGAAACUUGCAUAAGAGGAUAUUAGACUUAUUUUCCCCUAGGCAUGAGAAUUUUGAGAUCAAUCGAACAGUGUAAAAGAGAGAUAUCGGCUCUGGAAGAUUGACAUCAAGAUUAUAGAAGGAGGCCGGCCAAUACCCGAGCACAUUUGUGAAGUUAUCAUCAAUUUGAUAAGUCCGAUCCUUUUCAAUUUUUUUGUGCUUGUUUUUAACUUAAUUUGUAAGAUUUUUGAAAAAUUUGAGUUAAGAUCGACGGUUUAUUCAUUAGUUAUUGAGGUUUGAAUUUGUUGUAGGAAUUACUAGGAUUUUGUUUAGGAUAUGGUUAGAAUUUGGUUUAGGGUUUAGGAUUUGGAUUAGGGUUUGAUUUAGGAUUUAGGGUUUGGUUAGGAUUUGAUUUAGGGUUUAGGAUUUGGUUAGGAUUUGGUUUAGGAUUUAGGAUUUGUAUUAGGAUUUGGUUAGGGUUUGGUUAGGAUUUGGUUUAGGAUUUAGUUUGGAUUUGGUUUAAGAAUUGUUUAGGGUUUGAUUUAGGGUUUGGUUUAGGAUUUGGUUUAGGGUUUGGUUAGGGUUUUAUUUAGGGUUUGGAUUAGGAUUUGGUUUAGAAUUUAGAAUUUGGAUUAGGAUUUGGUUAGGAUUUGAUUUAGGAUUUAGGAUUUAGGAUUUGGUUUAGGAUUUGGUUAGGGUUUGGUUUAGGAUUUGGUUGAGAUUAGUUUAAGGUUUGUUUAGGGUUUGAUUUAGGGUUUAGGAUUUUAUUAGGAUUUAAGAUUUAGUUAGGUUUGGCUAAAGUUUGAAUGAAGUUCAAUAAGAUUUUAACUAGAAUUAAAUUAAGAUUGAAUUGAGAUGUAUUUGAGUGAUAUUUGUGAUCCUUCUAAUAUUUCUUUAAGAAUUCUUAUUGUUUGUUUGAAAUUUCUUGAGGUUUUUUUGAAUUUGAUUGAAGCUUGCUUAACAUUAUUAUGAUCUAAUUAGAGUUUAAUUAGUAUUCUAUUAGAAUCACGAUUUUGUUGUUGCAAUUUCCAUUCUUCCUUCUACAACCAAGUGCCCAGAGCAUUCUGAAGCAAGACUUCACGUAAUACGACAAUGCAUUUCUAGUUUCCAUCAGAGCUCUACUCCAUAUCAUUCUAGAAACGUGUUACCUAAGACUACAUCUAUUCCAUUAAGGUGGUAGAUUGUGAAGUCCUCUUAAAACCUCUCAUUUCUCACUUGAAACUUCACGCCUUUUACAACUGAGCGAGAUAACUCUCCACCCUUAACAAAGAAUGUCUCUAUCUCCUUGGUCGAUUCUUGAAUCAACGCUAACCUCUCAGCGCAUCUUGGGCUCAUAAACGAAUUGGUUGCGCUUGUGUCAAUCAACAUGGCCCAUUCAAUAUUCUCCACUCUAGAGUCUAAAUAAACAAGUUUCUUAUAUGGAUUGGUGAGGACUAAUUCUACAUCUAAAUUCUCUUUCUUCACCAAUACUCGGGUACUCGGUUUUGAGUUGUCAAAAUUUUGAUCCAUCUCAACCUUAUGUCAAGGAACAUUAAGAUAGUGGUUAUCUUUUUCGCCACUUCUUCAUUCUUACAAUCGCCACUUCUUCAUUCUUACAAUCGUUGGCAUAGUGGCCACUUCUUCAUUCUUACAAUCGCCACUUCUUCAUUCUUGCAAUCGUUGGCAUAGUGGCCACUUCUUCAUUCUUACAAUCGCCACUUCUUCAUUCUUACAAUCGUUGGCAUA
rnacentral:lncRNA from 1 species